AAUUAGUGGCAGACGGGUGAGUAAUGCAUAGGAAUCUACCUAGUAGUAUAGGAUAGCCACUAGAAAUGGUGGGUAAUACUGUAUAAUCCCUGUGGGGGAAAGAUUUAUCGCUACAUGAUGAGCCUAUGUUAGAUUAGCUAGUUGGUGGGGUAAUGGCCUACCAAGGCAGUGAUCUAUAGCUGGUCUGAGAGGAGGAUCAGCCACACUGGAACUGAGACACGGUCCAGACUCCUACGGGAGGCAGCAGUGGGGAAUAUUGGACAAUGGGCGCAAGCCUGAUCCAGCUAUGCCGCGUGAGUGAGGAAGGCCUUAGGGUUGUAAAACUCUUUCAGUGGGGAAGAUAAUGACGGUACCCACAGAAGAAGUCCCGGCAAACUCCGUGCCAGCAGCCGCGGUAAUACGGAGGGGGCAAGCGUUGUUCGGAAUUAUUGGGCGUAAAGGGCAUGUAGGUGGUUUGGUAAGUUAAAGGUGAAAUGCCAGGGCUUAACCCUGGAGCUGCUUUUAAUACUGC
rnacentral:rRNA from 1 species